ACACUCCUAACAGCUAGCCCCCUCCCCAAAAACAACAAACACCAUUAAUAAACCCCCAUAAACAAUACAAACAAACAACAAACCAUUUUUCCUCCCUAGUAUGGGUGACAGAAAAGGAUACAUGGCGCAACAGAAAAAGUACCGCAAGGGAAAGCUGAAAGAGGAAUGAAAAAACUCAGUAAAGAAGAAGAAAGUAGAGACAACCCCUCGUACCUUUUGCAUCAUGACUUAGCUAGUACCCCUCAAGCAAAAUGCCUUUUAGUUUGAACCCCCGAAACUAAGCGAGCUACUCCAAGACAGCCUAUUUUUAGGGCAAAUCCGUCUCUGUGGCAAAAGAGUGGAAAGAUCUUUGAGUAGAGGUGACAGACCUACCGAGCUCAGUUAUAGCUGGUUGCCUACAAAAAGAAUAAAAGUUCACCCUCUAAUUUUUUUAACUCAAAACUGCACAUGCCUUCCAGUGAUAAAAAGAAAAUUAAAGAGCUAUUCAAGGGGGGAACAGCCCCCUUGAAAAAAGAUACAACUUUAUUUAGAAGGCUAAAGAUUAAAUAAUUAUCAGGCACAGUACCUCGGUGGGCCUAAAAGCAGCCAUCCCUACAGAAAGCGUUAAAGCUCAAGUACUUUACCCCUCCCUAAUCCCAAAAACACAAUCUUAAGCCCCUCCUUUAUUUAUAGUAGGCCUUUUCAUGCCCCCAUGAAAGAGACACUGCUAAGAUGAGUAAUAAGAGGAAAUGCUCCUCUCCUAAACACCUGCAUAACUCAGAACGAACCCCCACUGAAAAUUAACGCCCCCAACAUUAGAGGGGCCUGGAGUAACCCCAAAAUAACCUAGAAAAACCUCCUAAAAAAAGCGUUAACCCUACACAGGUGUGUUUAAGGAAAGACUAAAAGAAAAAGAAGGAACUCGGCAAACACUGGCCUCGCCUGUUUACCAAAAACAUCGCCUCUUGCAACAAACGUAUAAGAGGUCCCGCCUGCCCUGUGACUAACUAGUUUAACGGCCGCGGUAUUUUGACCGUGCGAAGGUAGCGUAAUCACUUGUCUUUUAAAUGAAGACCUGUAUGAAUGGCACAACGAGGGCUAAACUGUCUCCUUUUUCUAGUCAAUGAAAUUAAUCUCCCCGUGCAGAAGCGGGGAUACUAACAUAAGACGAGAAGACCCUAUGGAGCUUAAGACACAAGACAGCCCCUGUAAAACACCUAGCUUAAUAGAAAUAACUAAAGGGUUCCUGUCCUCCUGUCUUUGGUUGGGGCGACCGCGGGGAAACAAAUAUCCCCCAUGUGGAAUGGGCCCUCCCCCCAAAGCCAGAGCAACAGCUCUAGCUAACAGAAUAUCUGACCUACAAGAUCCGGCAAAGCCGAUCAACGGACCGAGUUACCCUAGGGAUAACAGCGCAAUCCCCUUUUAGAGCCCAUAUCGACAAGGGGGUUUACGACCUCGAUGUUGGAUCAGGACAUCCUAAUGGUGCAGCCGCUAUUAAGGGUUCGUUUGUUCAACGAUUAAAGUCCUACGUGAUCUGAGUUCAGACCGGAGAAAUCCAGGUCAGUUUCUAUCUAUGAAUGUUUUUUUCUAGUACGAAAGGACCGAAAAGAAGAGGCCUAUGCUGCAAGUAAGCCUCCCCCUCACCUAAGGAAAACAACUAAAAUAGGUAAAAGGGCAUAAAACCCUGCCUAAGAAAAAGGCAA
rnacentral:rRNA from 1 species